GAUGAACGCUGGCGGCGUGCCUAAUACAUGCAAGUCGAGCGAACGGACGAGAAGAUUGCUUCUCUGAUGUUAGCGGCGGACGGGCGAGUAACACGUGGAUAACCUACCUAUAAGACUGGGAUAACUUCGGGAAACCGGAGCUAAUACCGGAUAAUAUUUUGAACCGCAUGGUUCAAAAGUAAAAGACGGUCUUGCUGUCACUUAUAGAUGGAUCCGCGCUGCAUUAGCUAGUUGGUAAGGUAACGGCUUACCAAGGCAACGAUGCAUAGCCGACCUGAGAGGGUGAUCGGCCACACUGGAACUGAGACACGGUCCAGACUCCUACGGGAGGCAGCAGUAGGGAAUCUUCCGCAAUGGGCGAAAGCCUGACGGAGCAACGCCGCGUGAGUGAUGAAGGUCUUCGGAUCGUAAAACUCUGUUAUUAGGGAAGAACAUAUGUGUAAGUAACUGUGCACAUCUUGACGGUACCUAAUCAGAAAGCCACGGCUAACUACGUG
rnacentral:rRNA from 1 species